ensembl:snRNA U6 U6 spliceosomal RNA
UUGCUUAUUUCAUCAGCAUAUAUACUAAAACUGGAAUGACACAGAGAAGAUUAGCAUGGAUUUGCAUCCCUGAGCAAGGAUGUCACACGAAUUCAUGAAGCUUUCUCUCUCUCU